CGCGUAGGCGGUCUUUUAAGUCAGGUGUGAAAGCCCGGGGCUCAACCCCGGAAGUGCACUUGAAACUAAGAGACUUGAGUAUGGGAGAGGGAAGUGGAAUUCCUGGUGUAGCGGUGAAAUGCGUAGAUAUCAGGAGGAACAUCGGUGGCGAAGGCGACUUCCUGGACCAAUACUGACGCUGAGGCGCGAAGGCGUGGGGAGCAAACAGGAUUAGAUACCCUGGUAGUCC
rnacentral:rRNA from 1 species